GCAACUGUUUAAGAAUGCCAGUGUCAGGAGAUAGUCGGUAUUGGUUAUAUCCCACCGAGUAAAUAAAACCAUCGCGCCCAACAGCUGCUGCACCGAAUUGUGCACUUCGCAAUUUCCCACCACCAAGCACCCAUUCAGGAUUUUUCCCUAAUUCAAAGUGCUUGUACCCGAUAUUUUCCUUAUCUUCAUUCUUCAUUGCUGUAUCGAUAUCUCCGCCAAUCAGAUAUAUAUGAGAGCCUAAGACGGCAAGGCUUGUAUCUCGGACGUCUGAAUCGGGAACAGAGAUUCGUCUGAUAUAAUCAGAGUCAGAGUAACACAACAGGCCUUCCGUGUCGUCGCAUCGAUUGCAAGGUUUCUCCUCAAUCACGUACCACAAAUUGUCUGGCUUGUACUUACCGCUGCACGCUACCCUUACGUAGAUCGGUCGGUCACUGCAGAUUUCGUCUCCGCUUGUCUCUGCCAUUGCCAUAUCAACAACUUGAAUAUUGCUAGGUUUUGUUCUCUUUGGUGUACGUGAAAGAUGGAGGCUUAACCUUGCAUCCUCCUCUUUAUAUAGGGUUAGCCAUCCUAUUCUCUAUAAUGUGCUCUUAGCCAUUUUGGGCUUAUUUGAUACGGGUGUAUCCUAGUCUUUUAGGAAUUAGCCGAUUCCUUCUCCAAGUUAGUUAAGGAAAUAGCUUUUAUAGCUUGUUAGGAGAAUAGUUUUCCAACUUAGUUUGAGAUUAGUUGUGUAACUUAGUUAGGGAGUACUCUCCAAGUUAGACAAAGAUUUAUAGAGAUUUAGACUAUAAAUAGAGGUGUCUAGCUUAGUUUUAGAUAUUAGAGCGAAACAGUUAGAGAAAUAUAUGUUUAGAGAGUUAUUGUGAGAGAAAGCAUUAGACAUUAAUAAUCAUUGUACCAUUUUGCACAAUAAAAGAGAAGAAUACAUUUUCUUUGAACUACAUUGCUUGUGUGUUUUUAGUACUAUUAGCAAUUUCGUUGUUAGCAGUAUCACCUGAGUAAUUCGUAUCAUUAUUGGGCUCAAGGGUAUGGAUGUUGUUCUGAAGCAAGGGCGAUGAAGGCUAUUAGGUGGAUUUGGGCCACUGAAGUGACCUGGGCCUAUUGGGCUGAUCUACUUCUUAUGGGGCUGGGAUAAGGUUCUUGGACCUUAUUUUAGGCCUGAGAAUGUAUGGAUUGGCCUGGUGGGAUCAGGUUUAUUUAAUUUCCUUUAAAUUUGCAUGUUACUAUGUCAUGUCAUGCACUGCUAGUAGGCUCGUUUUUUCAAUAAGUGAGCAUUCGUACUGUCGAAUGAUAGGUCUAAUAUAUAUAUGGUUGUAGUUUAGUAAUCACAAACUUCUUAUCUACUCUUAGUCGGUAAAGAAAGGAUAUAUAUUUUUUAAAAUUCUUUUUAAAAUUAUUUUACUAUAUAAUUAUUAAUAGAGAUCGGGACGGGUAUCUGUGACAAAAGAAACACUUAGAAAGAACAAAAUUGAAUCUCACCAAAUAUACUGUUAGUUAUUUGUUUUAUAAUUAACAGAAGACUUACUUGGUAGUUCUUUCAUGUUUCUAUAUGCAAUUAGCCUGUACAAGAUGCUAUCCAAAAUGGAAAAACUUCGAGCCUUCAAUCUAUUCUGGUCGAAAGCGAACUAAAUUAGGGAGGGCAGUAGACUGUUGCUUCCUGAUUUCAGAUGCAGUCACCAUACUAUACUCCAAUGUCAGGGAACGUAGAUUCUUCGAAGGCUUUAAAUAAUGCAAUCCCUCAUCGGUGACGCGUGAGUUUGAAAUGUUUGAUGACACCAAUGCAGUUAAACCUGUAGUUCCAGAGGAAAAUGAACGUGACAAGAGUUGCAACAAGGUAUAUGAAAUAUACAACAAUACAUACCAGAAAUCACUUCCAACGAUUUAUCUGUCAAGCUGCGGUUCUGCGACAAAUUUAGCCAUGUCAGACAGACAAGAUCUUUCAGAUUCUUCACACCAGCAUCAGUCAAUUCCCCACCACAUAUUUCAAGAGAUUGAAGGUUCUUGAAGUCUGUUUGCACAAAAACACAUAAACUUUAUUACUUUAAAAAUACAAGAUUAUUAAGUUGCAAAAGCUAGUAAACACGUAAAACGAAAUUUCCCUUUGAGGCACUGUCAAUUUCAUCAAACUGAAUUAGGAUGGGAACCGGAGCAAACUUGACUGCUGAAAUAUUCUAUUCCUACCUUCAGGGUUUCGAAAUAGUACCUCCUCGCUUGGAACAGGAACCUCCAAGGAAAAUAGGAAAUGGAAAUUUGGAUUAAUACACAUGAUGAAAACAUAAAAUUUGAAAAAGUAAAGUGCAACGAAAGUAAUCUAGUUACCUAAAUCAUCAUUGAGGAACUCAAGUUAUCUAAGAGGGUACUAGCCCCUCCUCGUUUAAACAAGCGAAACAACCAUGAGUCAGAUACACACAGAGUAUUGCUUGGAGCUACCAGAUAGCCUUCACGACAGGGGAGCUCAAUCAGUUCAUCCCAGAAUGGCUAAGAUCUUCACUUGCACCCCUAAAUCAUUCAUCAUAACCUUCACUAUCAUCCAAUAGUCCAAUCCAAGGAUGAUCCAUUCUGCAAACUCUUUUAGACUAGAUACAAUCAUAUUUUUUAACAAAAUACAAAAGGGGGUUAUGAUUAUUAUCUUCAAACCAACACUGGCCUCUGUAACUACAAUUUUUCGCAUGGCUUCUAACUCAAAUCCACCGACUUUCAAAAAAGUUAUUUUAUAAAGACCACACUCGUGUCCUUUGCCUAAGAUCACUGUUUUACAUGAUUUUUGCAGGAGUAGAACUGACAUUCCUACUUGCAUAGAUUUUUGUGCUGCAUCAUAUACGUACUGUGUUCCUACCAAAAAUGACAGAGGUUGAGAUACUGUAUUGUGCUGCAUCAUGUACGUAGUGCUUUAGGCUGUACGUUCUGUACAUUUUACCAAGGAAAAAAAAAAAAAACAAAGGCUUGAUACAAUGACAGAAGACGGAUCAAUCUGAAAGUUUAAAAAGAAAGAUCAUAUAGUUUGAGGCAGCAAUAUUCGCAAAGAACACUACGCAAUUGACUCCACAAAUCAAACAAUCAGAUCAUGACCAGGUCCACUGAUAAGUUACCUUUGCUUCAAGUCCAAGUUUGCAGUGAUCGAGCAUUAAAGAGAGUUGGUUUUUCUCUUCUUAAAGUAUCACUCAAUUCUUCCUUAAUCUAGAGCUUGGCAUAAGGUAAUGUUUUUGAAUCUCAUUCUUAUGUAACCCACAAAGGAUUUGGGGUGCUUUGAUUUUGAGCUCUACUAAAUUGUUCUAUUUAUGGGUUUGUGUUGUUGGAAUUUGGGAAGUGGCAGAGUGAAGACUGAGGAAAGGGUUGAGCCAGAGAAAGAUUUUGAUGCACCAUCUGGAACAUUCAAUUGGAAAAUCGAAAAAAUUCUCUAACUUGAAGCCCGGCUUAUGUUUCUAACAGUUUCAUCAUUGGAGGCACCAAAUGGUCCGCCCUCUCUAUAUUCCGAAUAUAUAUUUCACUAUUUCAAGUUCAAGAUGGAUUUUUGUAUAAUGCCAAAGAUGCAAUAAUUAACUCAAGCGAUCAAGAUGGUUUUGUUUUGUUUCUUAGUUGGAAUGCCAAUCUUUUAUUUCAAGAUGAUGUCUUUUUCGUCGUUAGUUUACCCCAAUCAUGGGUUUGCUACUAACUAAGCAACAAGCUGCAAAUUAAAAUCAAAGAAAAUUGGAGCUAAAAAUCAUCCAGAGGCUUCUAGUCUAGCCCACUUGGUAGCCUAAUAUCGUGAAUAGUUACCUGGUCUUUACUAGCUAUGGUUGGUUUAAUAUCUCAGGCGGCUGUAUAUGUAUCUGACUGGCGAUGACAAGCAUCAGGGAAAUCACUUGGCUUUGUAUUUGGGGGUUGCAGAUGCUCAACAUUUGGCACCUGGGUGGAAUAUAUAUGCACACUUCAGAUUGACUGUGGUGAAUCAACUUGACAUUAACAAGUCAGUCACAAAGCCUAGAAAGGGUAAAUAGAUUCUUAGCUCUUUUUGUUUUGUUCUGUUUUUUAAUUUUUUGUUAUCUUGUAUUCUUCCAUGUGUGAAACUCAUGAUGCUUUGCAACAGCUUAGUUAUUAUACUACGUCAAUUUGCCAUCAAUGCACCCCCGUGUUCUUUUGCUUGAUUCAAUCUUAUAGCCGUGUAUUAUGAAAUCUAAGGUGCCGGCACAAAGGAAGAAAUGGACUGGAUGUGUAACAAAUUUAGAACUAUAACUAACAAUUAGGAACAAAUUAGAACUAUAAGCUUGUCUUCAAGCAGAUUUGAACAAGAUCUGAUCACUGUUGUGGAAGCAGAUAUGCAAUAUGACACGUAAUUUUGAAAUAUACCAACAUAUAUAAGCACUAUUAAGGAACAAAGGAACUGAAGUUGGGGAAACCAUGUUACGAACAUCAGCUCCAUAAAAGGUCACAGUUCUAGGGAUCAGAGAACUUCUGGAUAUGCUUGAUGUUAAUAGCCAUAAGGGUACUUAAAAUUCACAAAUCAUUUUCAUAUAUGGGUAUCGACACAGUACUUUCCUCUCAAUGUAUAAAUCACGGAAACUGAAUAUCAGAUUCAUGAUAAACUAUCAUAGAUGCUCUAUCAUAUGUAUAUAGCAUACUGGUGGAAAUAUAUAUACGAGGCAAAAAGCCUUCGGUAGUAGUACUGAAGCCUAAUUUUUCUUAAUUAGACAUCGCAUUUUAUUGAGCCUUGUUUUUUGUUUUUGUUUUUCUGGAACAAGCAAAAGCAAGCAGGUGAAGCAGCUAGAGGAUCCAACUCCUAUUGUACUUAUAAAGUAUUGGCUGUAUCUUACUAUGUACCUAUUAACCAAGCUUUUGCAGUGUGUGAAGAAGGAAGGAAAUAAACAAACUUGGUUAUAUGUAUAUAUGUAAAUCAGUUGGUGGACUCUCAAAAAAUCAUCUCUUCUUGGGUAGUUCUUUUAUCUAAUAAUGAUUCACCAUAUGUGUCUCAUUUCGUUCUUCCAUCCCCUUUUUGGUGAGACAUAAGGUGUUAUAAACAAAUCUCAUAUAUAUGUUUAUUACUGUUAUCAGCAUUUACUCGAGUGCUAGUGAAUUCCUAGAAAAUCAAAAAAUGCGUAUCUGAAGUAACCUGGUGAUUGGUGAUGAACAUCACAUGCCUUUUGUUAUUGACUGCGUAUUAACUCUUUGUCAAUUAUUGGGUUCACAGGCAUUCAGAGAGAAUUCGAUGCAGACAAUAAUGACUGGGGGUUCAAAGCUUUCAUGCCCCUCAGUGAACUAUAUGAAUGCUCUGCAGGUUAUGUACUGAAUGAUAUAUGUAUUGUUGAAGCCAAGGUUGAUGUCCCGUUCAGGUUUGAACAUCAAGGAUCUAAUGUUUCUGUAACUAUGGAGUCCUCAAGGAAUGAACAUAAGAGGCUGGAACAAAAUGUGAAUCCUAUGAAAUCUCCAGGCUCUUCAGCAGCAACUAAGGCCGCAAAUCUUGAGCUGGUACCUCCCUUGCAGGAUGCCCCACAAUCUGACAACUCUGCAAUAAGCUCUCCUUCUGUAGUCCAGGAAGCUGUGGAAGUCUCAACCAACCGAACAGGCAACCUCAUAGAUUUUAUGGGUUUUGAACUAGUAGAUUGAGCUUUUGUUCCAUUGCUGGAGGAAGUUUGUUCAAACAUCCUUCAUUGAUUGAGUGGUGCCAAACAAGGAGAGGUCGUAGCAUUAAAGAAUGUGCAUUCAAAACAUUGGGUGAACUCUUGCACUUUCCGAAGACUACAAAGAUUAAGCAUAUGACUCGAGUCCGCUGAGCACCUUCAAACUUUGUGGGAGGAUCUUGAGAUCUUCAAAUUUGACUUGGCUUGGCUUGAGCACGUUCAAUCUGCCUUGCCUAUGAAGAAGCUUUUAGAGAAGGCAAGGAAGGUGAAAAGACUGAGAGAAGAUGUAGAAUGUUUGGUUAAUGAACAAAAGAGGCGAAGUCUUGCACUAGCUGUUACAGAGAUGGACCUGGAGGCAGCAAAGGAGGAAGAAGGCUUCACUGAGAUAGACAUGGAAACUGAACUAGGUUACGGGAUACUUUAGCCUUACUGUUUGGUUUUCUCUAGAUAUAUAUGUUUAGUAGGGAAGUUAUGUUUGACAGUUGACACUGACAUUGAACUAGGUUAUGGCGGUUGUAGCGUUAUGGUAGCUUUUGUGUUUAUAUCAGUUGCAGGACCUUUAUGUGUGGCGUGUUCUAAGAUACUAAUAUGUAGAAGGAUUGGGGCAUAGAAUCGCUGGUAUUAUGCCUCAGUUCAAGCUGAGUAUUUGAACUUACUUUAGUUCAAAAUACAUUUUAAACUUAUCGUCUUAAUGCUAUUCUUAAAACUGGGCAAGUGACGCCUUGAUUUUGUUUCAUGUUUUGGAAUGAACGCAUUGUCAGGUUUGUCUCGAGGAUCUAUCUCAUUAUCACUCAUGAGUCAGGGCAGAGAUUUCAGUUUCCAACUUGUUUGUAUACUUGACUAUGUAAACCAGUUUUGCUGUUUAUCUGGUGGAAAUGAUUUCAGAUAUCUACAGCUGAAUGUCUGACACUGAAUNNNNNNNNNNNNNNNNNNNNUCCCCUCAGACAUGGCUAUUUAGAAUUUGUUGUUUGUGCUUCUGUUUAUUUCAAAUCCUACUCAACUAUACUACCCUACUCGACCAGCUAAGGAAACUGCAAACGCUCUUAAUUAUGUAUAUACAUCACCCAAUUGAAAUUGACUCCUUUGAGUAGGGAUUUCCACCCAGAAGCUGACAAUCAUCACUCCUCCGACCAUAGAGCUCAGAAGUAGGCAUAGUUAGAACAUAAAGAUAGGAAAUGGGAUAGAUAUCAAUCCUCCAAGCCAGGUGAGUUUUUUCACUUUCUUUUGUUAAGAAUAAGGUUUCCUCGGCCCAGGUCCUCAGUCAACGGAAAGAAGACGCAUACAAAGUACAUUCAGAGACAAAGGAAUGAGAACUGUUCUAUAAUUAAAAUUAAAAUCGUAACAUAUAACAUACGUUUUAAAGCGUUUGCUCCAGAGUCUGAAAUCCGAGCACCAAAGAGAUCCAGAUGCAUCGAUUUUGUAAGACCUGCAGCAGUAAAAACAUGAAAUACUGGAACAAGAGGUCUGAAGCUUCAAUCAAAAAUUUAGGAAGCAAGCAGAGCUAUAACAAGUGAUUCAGAAUGUAAGAUUGUUGAUGCCAAAUAAAGUUUGCUCUUUAGAAGAAUAUGAUCAAUUUUACUGAACGACUGGCUUAAAUCUACAGCUUUGUAAACAGAUGACAAAGCUAUAAGCUCAAGGGCGUAGCUUUACAAUCCUAAGCAUAAGCUACAUGACAUGAAAGACGAAGUGCUCCCAUGAAUUGAAAUUAAAACAGCUAGAAAUCUACCCCUUCUUAGCUAAAUGUAUUGGGCAAUCACAUGCAAGGAGAUUAAUCUCCAGAAUUAAUGCUUUGCAGCCAGCACAGAUCAGCACAAGCACAUAAACAUGUUUGUUCAACUAAACAAGCUAGUAGCUUUGCAAAUUAUGGCAUCCAAAGGAACUGUAAAAUAAAGUACAUCAAUAUCCAUACCUGUGAUAGCUGCAAGUCCAGCAUCAGUGAUUUGACGAGCAUCCAGAUUUAGCGAUUUGAGAGAUGUCAGUCCAUUUAACUUUUGCAGACUACUGUCAGUUACCUGGGUGAAUGACAAGUUUAAUUUCUCCAGAUUCUUUAACCCUGGAAGUAACAUCAACCGGACACUCAAAUUAAUCAACUAAUGCUUGAAAAGCAAUGCAUCUGGGAAACAACACCAUAAUAAGUUCAAAAUGAUCUAAAAUUCUACAAGUGGAUGAGUAGAGAGAGGAAUUUUCCAAACUGCUAAAACGUAAACAAUCCUUGGAAGCAAAAAGGUGAAAAACACAUGCAUAUGCACAAUAAAACGAAGAGAUGCAUGAGCUGUGUGCUAACAGGAAGCCACUAUAGAGGCAAACUGGCAGUAUCCCUAUCAAAACAGAGUCAAUCAAUCACCACAUAUUGCUCGUGGUACAGAAAAUACAUGUACAACAUCCAAUUUCUUUCACCUUAAGGCCAGGCAAAGCCUAAAGCACCAACAACAAUACAGAAUAACUGUACAUAGUGUUAGGAGCUCCACGAAAUAAGCUAACCAAUUCAAAAUGAAGAGGACAGUGAUGGAUAACUUCCAUGCAAGAGUAGUGAACAUAAAAGCUAGCAAAGCGUAGAAAUAGUGAUUGUAUGUUAAAAAUAUAUACAUUCGCUAAUCCUUCAAUAAGGUGUUUGGAUUUACACUAGAUUCUUUUUAGGGAUAGCAUAAACUUAGCUAUGGGAAGUAGGGAACAAAAAUAGCGUAAACUACAUAUAUUAAUGCACCUUACGAUAUUCUGCAUAAGUUUCUGAACUUUGCAGCCCUUAAACAGUCAAUGAUAUACUCAAAGUACAAUACAAUUGAACUGUCUAGGCUCCAUGAAUGAAAAUCCACAACACAAAAAACCAAAGUGAAUGUACUAUUAAUUCAUGGAGGUUCUUGUGCAGAUACUUCAUUCAGUUUAUACAUCAUUUAAGUCCUUGAUCAGAGAAAGAUCGAUAUAAGAUUUGUAUGAGUGCAACAAAAAUAGGCUCAAGACUUUGGUAGCUAUCACAACAAAAUAAAACCUGGUUUCUAAACAAGAUCACGAUACAGUAUCCAGAGAUGCAAAACAAAAUGAAACAUGAUUAUGGCACAAUGCACAAUUAUGUCAGCUACAUAACCAAAGCACAUUGGAUUUGCAAAACACUUCCUAUUUUGAAACAGGAUUAGCUCUAGCUAGUUAAACAAACACAUUGAAUCCUGACCAUAAGGAAAGAAAAGAAAAGAAAAAAAAAUUCUAAAUCCAUGUAAUAAGAUAGGAAUAUCAUUGUCAAUGUAAAAUUCGGAAGAAAUUAAACUACUGACUCAGGUGGCAGUACUUACAUUCCUGCUGCGCAAUUAAGUAAUAGGUGAGUCCCCUCAUCAAGAACAGCGUGUCCAUUUGACAGUGAACUGACAUAGAAGUGAGGAUCCACAGUAGCGGUACCAAUAGUAAUAGGACUGAGUACGAAUUUGGACCAAUACAGCAAACACUGAGGCAGACGAGAUCCUGGAUUUGGGCGUUUAGACUCCCACAGCAAAGCCAACUUGUGAUCGUUUUCCUUUCCGACUUGAAACAGGUAUGGAGUGUAACCGGGACCAGCCACAUACAUGUCCAUGUCUGCUUCAUUCUCGUAAUCAUGUGUCUCGUAAACUUCGGGGAGCGUGAUUCCGUCAGUUGGCAGACCCUUAACUGGUUCGGGAAGCCAUUUACGCUGUUGAAUAUCAAACACAUAUAUUCCCGGAACCACCUUCUGAACGGGCUUCAUACUCAUGGUAGCAGGCAGCGACAUGGGAUUCUGAGUACCGAAAGCAAACAGGUAGCGGUCGUCGUAAAGCACCACUCCGGCAGACCAUUUACCCGAGAUGUCGUCGUAGCCCUCGUCCCACUCGCCUGUCCCCAAGUCAUAUGAAAGCAUGAGAUUGGGUGCAUUCAGGCUCACAGUGACAUAGAUGAAAAGUUUACUCUUUGUAAGAGCAAGAAGAUGGGACUGGUAUGGCGCGUAAUUCCUUUCCCGGCGGAUCAGGAAAGCCGGAACAGGGAACUGAGGCAACUGUUUAAGAAUGCCAGUGUCAGGAGAUAGUCGGUAUUGGUUAUAUCCCACCGAGUAAAUAAAACCAUCGCGCCCAACAGCUGCUGCACCGAAUUGUGCACUUAGCAAUUUCCCACCACCAAGCACCCAUUCAGGAUUUUGCCCUAAUUCAAAGUGCUUGUACCCGAUAUUUUCCUUAUCUUCAUUCUUCAUUGCUGUAUCGAUAUCUCCGCCAAUCAGAUAUAUGCGAGAGCCUAAGACGGCAAGGCUUGUAUCUUGGAGGUCUGAAUCGGGAACAGAGAUUCGUCUGAUAUAAUCAGAGUCAGACCAACACAGCAGGCCUUCCGUGCCGUCGUUGUUGCCUUCCUCGUCGGAUGCAAUAAAAAGAGCUUCGUCAUUCCAAGGUUUCUCCUCAAUCACGUACCACAAAUUGUCAGGCUU
rnacentral:lncRNA from 1 species